rnacentral:rRNA from 1 species
UACGGAGGGUGCAAGCGUUAUCCGGAAUCACUGGGUUUAAAGGGUGCGUAGGCGGUGGCGUAAGUCAGUUGUGAAAUUCCCCGGCUUAACCGGUGGGACUGCGAUUGAUACUGCGUUACUUGAAUCAGGUUGAGGUAGGCGGAAUGUGACAUGUAGCGGUGAAAUGCUUAGAUAUGUCAUAGAACACCGAUUGCGAAGGCAGCUUGCUGGACCUGUAUUGACGCUGAGGCACGAAAGCGUGGGGAGCAAACAGG